GACUACCAGGGUAUCUAAGCCUGUUUGCUCCCCACGCUUUCGCGCCUCAGCGUCAGUUACUGUCCAGAUAGCCGCCUUCGCCACUGGUGUUCCUCCUGAUAUCUACGCAUUUUACCGCUACACCAGGAAUUCCACUAUCCUCUCCAGCACUCAAGAUCUCCAGUUUCGGAUGACCUGUCCGGGUUAAGCCCGAAUAUUUCACACCCGACUUGAUGACCCGCCUGCACGCCCUUUACACCCAGUAAAUCCGGAUAACGCUCGCCACCUACGUAUUACCGCGGCUGCUGGCACGUAGUUAGCCGUGGCUUGUUCUUCAGGUACCGUCAUUUGUUUCGUCCCUGAUCAAAGAAGUUUACAACCCGAAGGCCUUCGUCCUUCACGCGGCGUUGCUGGGUCAGGGUUUCCCCCAUUGCCCAAUAUUCCCCACUGCAGCCUCCCGUAGG
rnacentral:rRNA from 1 species